GACGAACGCUGGCGGCGUGCCUAACACAUGCAAGUCGAACGGAGCUGUUCCUUCGGGGGACAACUUAGUGGCGAAACGGGUGAGUAACGCGUGAGGAACCUGCCUUUCAGUGGGGGACAACAGUUGGAAACGACUGCUAAUACCGCAUAACAUGUACGGAUCGCAUGGUCUGUACAUCAAAGCUUUAUGUGCUGAAAGAUGGCCUCGCGUCUGAUUAGCUAGUUGGUGAGGUAACGGCUCACCAAGGCGACGAUCAGUAGCCGGCCUGAGAGGGUGAACGGCCACAUUGGGACUGAGACACGGCCCAAACUCCUACGGGAGGCAGCAGUGGGGAAUAUUGCACAAUGGGGGAAACCCUGAUGCAGCGACGCCGCG
rnacentral:rRNA from 1 species